GCCGUCCAGGAUGACGAACUCAUCUCCUACAUCAUCCACGGGCUAGAUGCCGAUUACCAACCUCUGGUAUCUGCUCUCGACGCUCGUGUCACUCCAGUCACACUUGACGAACUCUAUGCCAUGCUCUCCAACUUCGACC
rnacentral:snoRNA from 1 species